AUGGUCACCAGGCUCCUCUGCUGUGUGAUUCUUUGUCUCCUGGGAGUAGAGCCCAUGGAUGCUGGAGUCAUCCAGACACCCAGGCACGAAGUGACGGAGACGGGACAAGCAGUUACUCUGAGAUGUCAGCCAAUUUCAGGACAUACUGCCCUUUUCUGGUAUAGACAGACUGUGGUGCAGGGCCUGGAGUUACUGAUUUACUUCAGCAACCAGGCUCCCAUAGAUGACACAGGGAUGCCCAAGGAACGAUUUUCAGCUCAGAUGCCUAAUGCCUCAGUCUCCACUCUGAAGAUCCAGCCCACAGAACCCGGGGACUCAGCACUCUACCUCUGUGCCAGCAGCCCUCCGUGCUCCUACGAGCUGUAUUUCGGUCCGGGCACCAGGCUGACCGUCACAGAGGACCUGAGCAAGGUGACCCCACCCAAGGUCACUGUGUUUGAGCCAUCAGAAGCAGAGAUUUCCCGGACCGACAAGGCCACGCUGGUGUGCCUGGCCACAGGCUUCUACCCUGACCACGUGGAGCUGAGCUGGUGGGUGAAUAGGAAGGAGGUCCACAGUGGGGUGAGCACAGACCCUCAGCCCUACAAGGAGCAGAACGGCCUCAACAACUCCAGCUACCGCCUGAGCAGCCGCCUGAGGGUCUCGGCCGCCUUCUGGCACAACCCUCGCAACCACUUCCGCUGCCAAGUCCAGUUCUACGGGCUCACGGAUGAAGACCAGUGGACCCACAACUCGGCCAAACCCAUCACUCAGAACGUCAGUGCCGAGGCCUGGGGCAGAGCCGACUGUGGCUUCACCUCGGUGUCCUAUCAGCAAGGGAUCCUGUCUGCCACUGUCCUCUAUGAGAUCCUGCUGGGGAAGGCCACCCUGUAUGCAGUGUUGGUCAGCGCCCUGGUGCUGAUGGCCAUGGUCAAGAAAAAGGAUUCCUGAGGCCAGCUUCAAAAGUGCAUCUGAGUCGUUCUUCAUCCUCAUCCUGGAUUCUUCUCUACCUG